CGCAUCUGUGCAUGCAGCAUAUCAAUAAGCGGAGGAAAAGAAACUAACAAGGAUUCCCCUAGUAACGGCGAGUGAAGCGGGAAGAGCUCAAAUUUGAAAUCUUAAAGGGUUUCCCUUUACGAAUUGUAGUUUAAAGAAGUGUUUUCUGUUGAGGUUUUGGUAAAAGUUCUUUGGAAUAGGACAUCAUAGAGGGUGAGAAUCCCGUAUUUGACCUUUACUUUCAACUUUGUGAUACACUUUCAAAGAGUCGGAUUGUUUGGGAAUGCAAUCCAAAAUGGGUGGUAAAUUUCAUCUAAAGCUAAAUAUUGGCGAGAGACCGAUAGCGAACAAGUACCGUGAGGGAAAGAUGAAAAGAACUUUGAAAAGAGAGUUAAACAGUACGUGAAAUUGUCAAAAGGGAAGCGUUUGACACCAGUGUUGUUUUUCUGAAAAUCAAUUAAAGAACUGUUUAUGCUAAGUUGUUUAGACUUUAUCAGCUAACUGUUUAGUUUUGAGCUUUUCUUUAAUGCACUUUUCAGUUAACAAGUCAACAUCAAUUUCUUUUGCUGUAAAAAAGCUUGAGGAAGGUGGCUUGAGAUUCGUCUUAAGUGUUUAUAGCCUCUUGCCUAUGCAGUCGGAGAGAUUGAGGUCUGCAGCGUAGAUCCUUCGGGGCUAAAUGCAUUUGUGCUAAGUUAUAACAUUUUAUAGACAACUUGUUGACUAUGAUUUGUCUUGUAGCUUACUCGCUUAUGUUAUUUUACCUACGCUUAGGAUGUUGAGCGCAUGUCUCUCUCU
rnacentral:rRNA from 1 species